AACAAUAGCAGAAUGUCUGGUGACUAUGAUCUUCAGUAAUCGGAGAUGCUGGCCUUUGUUCUACAUGAUGUAUGAGGAAAACAUAGUGGAUUUUUGGAUUUCACAGCAGUCAUGGAACAUGUUUGAUAAAUUAUGCUGCAGUGAGAAACCAUGGAAUUUUUGUGUUCAUAGUUAUGUGCCAUGGAGUGUCAUGGUAAAAGGAUAUGGAAAAUAUAGGGAUAAGGAUGCGUGAAGCUGCAGGAAAGCAAGAAGGAAGCUGAAUACCAAGAAUUCCAGAAGAAUAAAAGGGCUGUAGGUCUGUGAAGGAUGUUGCAUUUAGACGUAGGGAGUUGCUCUACAGGUUGAAUUGAUGAUUGCAAUGUAUGCAGUGCAACUGUAAUAGCAAUGAGAUGAAAGUCUUUGUCUUAAAUGAUGAGGGAAACAUAGUGUAUGGCAGUUUUGGAAAACAUGUAAUAAUAGGUACUGACUCUAAUGACAUUUAUCGGAGAAGUACAAAAGAUUACUAUAGACAGAAAUUAUUUAUAUACCCGGUACGUAAUAUUGGGAGUUUUACCUGAAUGAUGAUUGGUUUUUAGCUCAUGAAUCGUUACACUCUAAAUUUGUGUAACAAUUUAUAUAUAGUGUUACUUAAGUUGACAGUUGGGGAGAGCUCGGCUAUCUACAUAAUCUCUGUAGUAUACUUGUGGAUAAAUUUCUACCACUUAAUUACACUAAAAGCAAUAGAAGCAAGUGUUUGAUAUGAUUUCGAAUCACUAAAUGCUUCUUGCUGAUACAUCUACCGAAAUGUGUCAGAAAUGCAGUAUUGAUUUAAAAUUGCACUCUUAUGUAAAACGUCAUAAUUUUGUCAAGAAGUCAUUUCUGAUGUAAACAAUGCUUGGGAGACUGACAGAAACUGUUAUAAUGAUUUUAUUGAAUCUUCACAUGGUUAAAAAAAAUCAUAUACAGUAUGAAAGAAUGACUUUAUUAUAGUUCUUUAUCUAUACUGCAAUCCAACAUUUUCAACACAAAUCCCUACCAAUGCAUUAUAUCAUUCUUGUCGAGUCCGCUUGCAGAAGCAAAGACAAACUUGUCCAAAUGGCUGUUUUGUGUAUGUGCGUGUGUGUGUGUGUGUCCGUCCAGAUUUUUUUGUCUGGACCAUAACUUUGGCAUGCAUGGAGCAAAUAAUUGUUCAAUAACAUUUUAUAUGUACAUCUAGUAUUUCUAUAUAUUUUCUGAACAGUUAGAAAAGAUGUUUUUUCUUUUGUAGUUUGAAGUAACAGUGAGGAAGAAUGGCUUGUUACAAACUAUGGACUUCAGAAGAUCUUUAUUCUACAUGCUGUAAUUAGGGAACAAUAAGGGAUUUUCUGAUUUCAUGCUAAUGAAAGAAAACAAUUAACAAGUAAAUGGAACAUUUGUAUUUAGAAUCAUAUACUAUUAAAUAAUCAAGCUGCGUUUAAAGUUAUGCAUACAAUAAGUUACAAAUUCUACAGUUGAAGGGAGGUAACUCAAUUUAAGAAAGACCACUAAAAUGCCAUUGGUUAUUUGUAUUUUGAAGCCCACUUUGCAGAAAAGCAAAUACAUAGUCGUCCAAAUGUCUGUUUGGUGUAUGUGUGUUAGUGCAUGCCUUUGUCCAGAUUAUGGUCCGGACAAUAACUUUGACAUGCAUUUAUAUUUGGCAUGAAUAACAAUUGGCAGUGUUCAGGCAUCCAAAGAGGGGACUUUAAAACCUUUAUAAACCUUUAAUUUUGUAAAAAUCCUUUAAAACCUUUUAUUGUGUUGAAAAACCUUUAAAAGUCUUAAAAUGUAUUUUCUCAAUAAGCAUUUGUAGAAGUCACAGCUAAUUGUUUGGAAAAUGGAAAGAACUAAAUUAAUUUUAAACAUUUCAACAGUUGGACAGGAGGAGUAAGGGAAGUCAUUUUAAUGUAAUGUUAAUUUAAUCUGAAUUUUUCAGGAUUUUACACAUCAUAAAGUAUUACCUUUAGACAGGUAUGUUUAUUUCUAUUAUACAGAGACAAAAAAUCAGAUGAGUGUCUGCACCCGCAAGGCGGUGCUCUUCAUGUAAAUAUGGCCGUUUCCAUUUCAGAUUUUGCGGAAGUGUUGAGGAAUGACUAGAUUUUCUUGAUUUGCAUUAUACUAAUGGUUAAUGUUUAUGAGAGGAUUAUUGUUAGCAAGUUAAGGGACUUUGUGAAUUGAGCAAAAAUUAUACUCUUGCGAAAAUUCAGCAUUUACAGUACGUGAAAUGUACAUGGCCAUAAAAAUUAUAUUUGACACCAGUCUGAGAAGUGCAGAAUGUGGUUGGUUGUUUUUUAUCACAAAUUUGGAACUGACCAAUGGUAAGCCUUCAAUCUGAGACUGGUGUCCAAACUCAAGUUUUAUCACCUUGGACCUUGAUGUUUGUGAUGAGUUACAACUGUAACCUCGACAGAAGUAAUAGCACCCAGCACUAUAUCCAUUUAUUGAUAAGUUUUCUCUUUAUAGAUCCUCUUUAUUAGCAUAGAACACACCUAGAGAGCACAGCCAAGCAGGUUAGGAAGUGUGAACAGGCUUUGAUCCUUGUUGGUCUGGAUAUCUGCAGAAUAUGCUGUCAGUGAACAGGCUAUAAACUUGGCUGGAGAGGGACCACAGAUGAAGUUGAAUAUGAGAAAAGUCAGAUACGAGAAAACUUUGAAAGAUGUGGACUCUGGUUACAGAUAUUCAGCAGCUGUCAGUGAACAAGAAGAAAACUCAGUAGCCAUUCUAUAUUAUAUAGGACUCAGAGGAGCGGACAUGUGGACAAGAUUACAGAUCAAUGUGUGGUGACAUACUGCCCAAGAUUUAAGUUUGGAGAUAACACUGACAGAUCUAGAUUUAAGUUUUAAAAUGAUUGUGACUUUAGACUGCAUGUACAUAUUUCAGUCAAAGGCUUUUUUCUUUUUUUUCAUUGUAACACAGUUAUAGUCUGGGAAAUAAUUACUAUGAAAGCAAGUUUUUAUUACAAAAAAAAUUUAAUAAAAAGAAAAAAGAAAAAAACAUUAUGUUUUAGUGAUGACAGGUUUUCGGAAUUUACUGUGGAAAUGACUGUUUCACAUCUUUUAGAUAUAAAAAGAGAACUUUUUGAAUAAUAGUAUUUUUUGUCACAUGACCUUCUUGUACAUGAAAUGAUUGAACAUAUUUCCUUUGUAUUCAGAGCAGUUAAUCAGAUUUUUGUCAAGAAAUAGAUUAGUUACUGUACCUUUUAGAUUUUCACCAGAGGCCAGUAUUUCUGAAACUUGAUUUUCUCAGUUUUCCAAACAAGAUAGAAAUAUUUAGCCUUAAGUCAUUUGACAAACAUACAUUGCCUAAGGAAAUAUAUAAAUAUAACACCUUGUAAAAGAUUUGCAUUAAUGGUUGUAUAUUUAGAUGGAAUUCAUUAGAAAUGCAUGUUUGAAAAAUAAUUAUUACCUCCCUUUGCACAAACAGGAUAAAUUGGAAAUAAAUUAAUUCAGAAGCUACACACAGUUUUAAAACUUCACUUUGGAUUCAGAUUGUUAAAAUAGUCUGAGAUUUAUCAAAUGCAGAUGUAAAACUAGAAAUUACUCUGAAAUAAAAAGAAAAAUACUGGCUCUCUUGAAUACUUCUUAAUUGAAGCAGGGUAAAUACAUUAACUUUUA